rnacentral:rRNA from 1 species
UAUUGCGCAAUGGGCGAAAGCCUGACGCAGCGACGCCGCGUGAGGGAUGAAGGUCUUCGGAUCGUAAACCUCUGUCAGCAGGGCAGAACGGUCACUGUGCUAAUCAGCAGUGAAUUGACGGUACCUGCAAAGGAAGCACCGGCUAACUCCGUGCCAGCGGCCGCGGUAAUACGGAGGGUGCGAGCGGCAAUCGGCAUUACUGGGCGUAAAGCGCUCGUAGGCGGUAUGUCAAGUCAAGGGUGAAAUCCCCGCGCUCAACGGGGGAACGGCCUUUGAAACUGGCAAACCGGAGUGUGUGAGAGGAUAGUGGAAUUCCAGGUGUAGGAGUGAAAUCCGUAGAUAUCUGGAGGAACAUCAGUGGCGAAGGCGACUAUCUGGCACAUAACUGACGCUGAGGAGCGAAAGCGUGGGUAGCAAACAGG